CACCCCUAAUGACCUCAGUGUGAUGCCUUGUGCCCGGGCCACUGGCUCACACUGAUGGGAAUCAGGAACUGAGGAG